rnacentral:rRNA from 1 species
GACGAACGCUGGCGGCGUGCCUAAUACAUGCAAGUCGAACGAGAGCAACCGGUGCUUGCACUGGUCAAUCUAGUGGCGAACGGGUGAGUAACACGUGGGUAACCUGCCCAUCAGAGGGGGAUAACAUCCGGAAACGGAUGCUAAAACCGCAUAGGUCUUCGAACCGCAUGGUUUGAAGAGGAAAAGAGGCGCAAGCUUCUGCUGAUGGAUGGACCCGCGGUGCAUUAGCUAGUUGGUGAGGUAACGGCUCACCAAGGCCGUGAUGCAUAGCCGACCUGAGAGGGUGAUCGGCCACAUUGGGACUGAGACACGGCCCAAACACCUACGGGAGGCAGCAGUAGGGAAUCUUCCGCAAUGGACGCAAGCCUGACGGAGCAACGCCGCGUGAGUGAAGAAGGUGUUCGGAUCGUAAAACUCUGUUGUUAGAGAAGAACAAGUGCUAGAGUAACUGUUAACGCCUUGACGGUAUCUAACCAGAAAGCAACGGCUAACUACGUG